AUACGUAGGGGGCGAGCGUUGUCCGGAAUGAUUGGGCGUAAAGGGCGCGUAGGCGGCCCGGUAAGUCUGGAGUGAAAGUCCUGCUUUUAAGGUGGGAAUUGCUUUGGAUACUGUCGGGCUUGAGUGCAGGAGAGGUAAGUGGAAUUCCCAGUGUAGCGGUGAAAUGCGUAGAGAUUGGGAGGAACACCAGUGGCGAAGGCGACUUACUGGACUGUAACUGACGCGGAGGCGCGAAAGUGUGGGGAGCAAACAGGAUUAGAUACCCUGGUAGUCCACACCGUAAACGAUGAAUGCUAGGUGUAGGGGGUAUCGACCCCUCCUGUGCCGCAGUUAACACAAUAAGCAUUCCGCCUGGGGAGUACGGCCGCAAGGUUGAAACUCAAAGGAAUUGACGGGG
rnacentral:rRNA from 1 species